rnacentral:rRNA from 1 species
GACGAACGCUGGCGGCGCGCUUAACACAUGCAAGUCGAGCGAUCAAACUUUAACAGAACCCUUCGGGGCGUAGCUACAGUGGAUUAGCGGAGGCGGGGUGAGUAACACGUGAGUAACCUGCCAUAGACAUUGGGCUAGCCCCGGGAACCCAGGAUUAAUACCAAAUAAAAUCUUAAUGACACAUGUCAUAACUAUCAAGACUCCGAUGGGCUAAGAUGGACUCGUGUCUCAUUAGCUAGUUGGUAGAGUACAAGCCUACCAAGGCGACGAUGGGUAGCCGGCAUGAGAGAGUGAGCGGCCACAUUGGAACUGAGAAACAGUCCAAACUCCUACGGGAUGGAGCAGUGGGGAAUAUUGCACAAUGGAGGGAACUCUGAUGGAGCUACGCCGGGUGAACGAAGAAGUCUGGCGAGACGUAAAGUGCUUUUAUAUGGGAAGAUAAUGACGGUACCAUAAGAAAAAGCCCCGGCUAACUACGUG